GAUGAACGCUGGCGGCGUGCCUAAUACAUGCAAGUAGAACGCUGAAGGAGGAGCUUGCUCUUCUGGAUGAGUUGCGAACGGGUGAGUAACGCGUAGGUAACCUGCCUGGUAGCGGGGGAUAACUAUUGGAAACGAUAGCCAAUACCGCAUGACAACAGUUAUUGCAUGAUAACUGUUUAAAAGGGGCAACUGCUCCACUACCAGAUGGACCUGCGUUGUAUUAGCUAGUUGGUGAGGUAACGGCUCACCAAGGCGACGAUACAUAGCCGACCUGAGAGGGUGAUCGGCCACACUGGGACUGAGACACGGCCCAGACUCCUACGGGAGGCAGCAGUAGGGAAUCUUCGGCAAUGGACGGAAGUCUGACCGAGCAACGCCGCGUGAGUGAAGAAGGUUUUCGGAUCGUAAAGCUCUGUUGUAAGAGAAGAACGAGUGUGAGAGUGGAAAGUUCACACUGUGACGGUAUCUUACCAGAAAGGGACGGCUAACUACGUG
rnacentral:rRNA from 1 species